CCUUUUCCCCGUCUAGAUCCCGGCGACGCCCCGCUCCCACCUUCUCCCCGGCUGGAUCCCUGCGACGCCCCGCUCCCACCUUCUCCCCGGCUGGAUCCCAGUGCCGCCCCUCCCCCACCUUCUUCCCGGCGCCGCCCCUGCUUCCACCUCCCGGCGAUGCGCCGCCCCCACCUUCCAGCAUCGCGCCGCCCCCCACCUCCCGGCCAUGCACCGCCCCACACCUCCUGAGCGACGCCCGCCCCCUACUCCGCCUGGCCAAGCGCCACCACACCACCGGCCUGCUCACCGACGAGGCCCUCCUCCCCUACUGUUGCCAUGGCCGUUCGUGCCCCUCCCCUCCCCUCUCUCUUCCCGGUGAUGUUGACCACCACAGCCAGGCCCGCUUCUCGUCGAUGGCCAGAUCCAGGACACACCCCGAGUCUUCACCGACCCACCUCUUCCCUCCUCUCAGCCUCACGAUCCCCGUCGCCCUCCUGGUCGCAGCAUCUAGCCAAUUCCGGCGAGGCCUCUGACAGCCGGACGCGGUGACCUCGAACUGCCAAGCAUCCUCACUUGAACGGCUCUAUCCUCUUCUAACAUGCACAUUCUGCUCCUCUCCUCUGCUUUCUCUCUCGCGCGGGUGCUGCUCCUGCUCCUCUCAAAUCUCACUUCUGCUGAUGCUGCUCCUUUUGAAUCUCACUCCUGCUGCUGCUCUACACUAGUAAUUGUUGAUGCUACUUCAUCUCUACCUGAGAAAAGAUCAUAGUGGUGAUGCUGUUUUGAUUCCCUUUACCUUUACCAGUACUAAUUGGUCAUUAGCAUCAGGGAAGAAGGCUUCCCCACGCCAGUACAAGCUUUUUAAUGUGUGCAUUUUGUUACAGCAAAAACUGAACAGGUGGCAAGACGAAUAUAGUUGUUAUUAAACGCCCAACUGGUGCAUGGAAUUGAGGAAAUUGAUGCACUGGUUUGUGCUUUGCUCAUUCCGUUGCUACAUUGUUUUGUGCUUGGGAAUAGAGUAGGGUGGUGUACACGGAGCUGGAGGUCGGCAAGUCGGGCAAGGCCACAGGAGUUGAACUACAGAAAAAAUUAUAUCAGCCCAAUAACAGAAAAAUAUCAGUUCAAAAUAUAUAUGCAGGAGGUUGGGAGCAAAAAAACUGGCCACGGCGCACCUCCACCUCCCUGCCGUGGCAUGCCUCCACAUCCCGGCCGCAGGCAUGUGCAGUUACUGAUUGCUUCUUGCUUCCACUUUUUAUCAUGAUUUAGUGUGUGCAAUAUAGGAGUGCUUUUUGUCUUGGUAGAUCAGCUGCUCAACAACAUAAUCAUGUACCGCUCAGUACAUGUAUUACUGCUAGGGGGUUCAAAAAUCAGAACUCAAAAAGUUCAACCUUGGUGGUAUUGUGCACAUGCAAAAUUAGAUAAAUACUUGUUAAAAUUGCUCCCAUUAUUUGACGUAUUCCAUGCAAUGCUUACUAGAUUGUUCUAAAAAAAGUGUCAUGUAUUUGUGAAUUUACUAUUGGUAUAGCAGUUAAAUAUGUAUUAUAUCACCGGUUCAUAAUGAAAUGCAGAAACAGUUCGAUGUGUGUAUAUGCAUCCGUUCAUACUUGUCAUUUCUUUUUUCCUUUGUUGUUUUUUCUUGGUACACAUGUGGUUCAGGAAAAAAAGUGAUCCAAAGUUCAAAGAAAAACCAUUGUGGAGUUGAUCUUUCAAAGCCAAGAACGCCUGGAUAUGUCGUGCCCACUGGCGCAGGAGAAAAAACCAGAUGCACAUGUUCAUAUUUUGAGACACACUCAGUUCAAAAUCUAUGUUUAGUUCAGUGCAAUUCUUAUUUUACUUAAGCCCAGUUUAUUAUUGUAUUGUAGUGUUUUAGUGCACUUUUAGAACUACUUUCGUAGUUGUGGAGGUUCAUAAAGAUGUCAAAGUUCAUGGAUAUAUAACAUAAAGGUUCAAAGAUCAAACGAGGAUAAAUUCACCUGCAGCAGUUCAACAGGGGCGCGGGGUUCAGUUCGACGGUGACGAGCCAGGCAGCCGGCCUUCGCAUAACGAACUGGUGCAGUUCGAUCUUGUGCGAAUUGGAAAUCCCCUGAUGCUGAGUGCGUCAGUACAACCCUACGCUUCGAGGCACACGUGCAUCCACUUCACGUGUUUGUCAAUUGUAUUGUGCAUUUUCUUGGUACCUUUGCUACUCUAGUUACAUAUCACUUGCGAAAUCAAACAAAAUUUGUUGUUCACUUUUCUGUGUUUUGGUGAAUAAUUCUCAUGCGUUCUAGGGAAGUAUGCUUUUAGUGUGCAAAAUCCUAAGGAAAAAUGAUACAUUUUAGUUUGCUUUGCCUAAGGGCAUUGCUGAAACUUAAAUUAUGUCUCAACUAUAGCCAUCCAUUUUGAAAUCGAUGUUACUUUACUUUGGGUGGUUUCUGAAUCACAUUUCACUAAAAAAUGUAAUAGUGAAAUUAUACUGAAUACCUAAAUUAAAUUGCAGUGACAAAAACACCAACAGUCCAUGCAGGGUCAGUGAUGUAGGUUCAAAGAAAAUUAUUAUUAUGUAAACUUCCCUCUCCUGAUGCGUAUAAACAAAAUAAAAGUUUCCAAGAGGUUAUAAUCACUGCUUACAUGAUGUUGAAAGGCAGGAAAGAAAAGCUGCUCUUAAAUGUGACAUGUAGUUUACUGUGCAAAAGAAAUAUAUGUGUUCACAGUGGUCUUAAUUCAGUUUCUUAGUUUAGUUCAAUUUCUAAUUUUUGUUCAGUUCAAUUUUCAUAUUUUACUUCAUCUCAAUUCUUAUUUUUUGUUCAGUCCAGUUUCUUGUUUUAGUUCCAUUCAAUUCUAAUUCUAGUCCAGUUCAAUUUCUAAAUUUAGCUUAGUCCAAAUCUUAUUCUAGAUUCAUUUCAGCUCAAUUCUUAUUUUAGUCUAUAUAUCUUCUUGUGCUUCCAUACAAUCUAUUUUCUCGAUGUACCUAUGAUAUCCAGUUUGUUUUUUCAGUUCGGUACAAUUUCUAAAUUUCAUUCAGUUCAAUUCUCAUUUUUUCCAGUUUCCUGAGUUCAAGGAAUUUGACAGUCUUUAGUGUGUAUAUGCAAGUUCCAGUUUUCCCGUAGAUGAAAAUGACCCUUGAAUGCAAAUUUGCUAAUUGCUCAUGUGUGAUUUUACCCUUAUGAUUGUGUACAACAGUGAAAGGUUUAGAUGGUUGAGAUUGGUCAAGUUCCUUUCUAUUUCAAUUGGUCUCCAAACUGAAUAACAUAUACUUUGCUGAUGUGGAUUUGACAGUCAUCAGGGAAGAAGACCUCGACCUAUGGCAAUGACGGCCGCACAUGCCACACGCUACCAGAUUCGCCGCCCACAGCUGCAACCUUCGACCGGCACGGCUUUUGUUUCCCCCGCACCCGACGCCGCCUGGGCCCUCCAGGCAACGAGACCAUCGCCGCCCCAUGCUCAAUCUAGAGUUCUUGUGUGUUUGCAUGUAGGUGGUCGUACAAAUGCCCCUGAGGAUGCUUUUUUUUCCUCGAAAAUGUUACUUGUGUUUCUAAAUUUGACAUGAUGCCGGUUGCUAAACUGGACGCACUUGCAUAGUAGCUAUAUCAUCUAGCUACUUGCUCUCUAUUAUAUCCCCCUCUUUGCAGAAAAAUCGUCCGUUCAAGUUUCAAGUUUGUUGGAAGCGUGUGUGGAAAAAUCACUGUGCUUGCUCCCACCAGUGAAUUGUGCAAGUUCAAUGGGUGUCGUCGAGCAUGUUUAGAAGUAUGCCCUUCGUGGAAAAGUGUGAAUUUUUAUCAGUAUUUUGUAUAUUUGAUUUGACAGAGGCUUCAUGUGAUCUUGUGGAGCUUUAUAGAUGUACUGCCAUUACACUUCUAAAGCCAUACAGUUCAUUAUAUCAUA